UACGGAGGGUGCAAGCGUUAUUCGGAAUUAUUGGGCGUAAAGGGCGUGUAGGCGGCUUGGUAAGUCAGAUGUGAAAGCCCGGGGCUCAACCCCGGAAGUGCAUUUGAUACUGCUUGGCUUGAGUGCGGGAGAGGAAAGCGGAAUUCCCAGUGUAGAGGUGAAAUUCGUAGAUAUUGGGAGGAACACCGGUGGUGUAGGCGGCUUUCUGGACCGACACUGACGCUGAGACGCGAAAGCGUGGGGAGCAAACAGG
rnacentral:rRNA from 1 species